ACUCGAUGAGCGUUGCACAAUAACAAAGCUCCGUUGGUGAGCGUAUUGAUUAAUAAAGGUAUUUAAGGCAUUAUCCAAUUAGUCAUGCCAUAAUGUCUCACUUUGUUGGCAGCUAGGUGAAGUCCUUGAGUGCCUCAAGGACUUUGUUUUGUUUUAGCAGUAUUUUUUCCUUCAACAAUUAAUCUUGCAUCUCCAACCGUGGAAUGAGUUACAUGUGACUCGAGACAAACAAACAGUGCAAUUGCAACAAUAUAAUUAGUCAGCGAUAUAAAUUUGCCAUAUCUUCAUGCCAACCACAAGGAUUCUGCUUUUGCACACACCUUCAUUAUUAAUGUGUUUCUUCAGGUAUGGUCACUAUCAGCAGCUUUACACACAGUGUGCAUCGUGAAUACAUCAAUCCCAGAAAAAACAUUCCAAUGGAAAAUAUUGAGAAUUUCUGCCCUUCUAUCCUGAACUAAACAAUGCUGGGAGAUUGGUUAUCUCUUCACAGAGAUGAGUCAUCCGCUCCUUGGACAACGC